rnacentral:rRNA from 1 species
AUACGGAGGGUGCAAGCGUUACUCGGAAUCACUGGGCGUAAAGCGCGCGCAGGCGGCUAUUUAAGUUGUAUGUGAAAGCCUAUGGCUCAACCAUAGAACUGCAUCCAAAACUAUUUAGCUAGAGUGUGGGAGAGGAAGAUGGAAUUAGUUGUGUAGGGGUAAAAUCCGUAGAGAUAACUAGGAAUACCAAAAGCGAAGGCAAUCUUCUGGAACACUACUGACGCUGAGGCGCGAAAGCGUGGGGAGCAAACAGGAUUAGAAACCCCUGUAGUCC